rnacentral:sRNA from 1 species
GAACGAUGUGCUUUGUAGCGCACCCACGACUUUGGAGGCGCGCAAAAGUCGCUGCAGAAACUCGGUUUGGCGCGUGAUUUCGUUCGCGGAAAUUUCGAUUGUGCAAGGGAG